rnacentral:rRNA from 1 species
GACGAACGCUGGCGGCGUGCUUAACACAUGCAAGUCGAACGGAAAGGCCCUGCUUUUGUGGGGUGCUCGAGUGCCGAACGCGUGAGUAACACGUGAGUAUCCUGCCCUUGACUUUGGGAUAACUUCAGGAAACUGGGGCUAAUACCGGAUAGGAUCUCCUGCUGCAUGGUGGGGGUUGGAAAGUUUCGGCGGUUGGGGAUGGACUCGCGGGUUAUCAGCUUGUUGGUGUGGUAGUGGCUUACCAAGGUUUUGACGGCUAGCCGGCCUGGGAGGGUGACCAGCCACAAUGGGACUGAGAUACGGCCCAGACGCCUACGGGAGGCAACAGUGGGGAAUAUUACACAAUGAGCGGAAGCCUGAUACAGCAACGCCGCGUGCGGGAUGACGGCCUUCGGGUUGUAAACCGCUGUCGCCUGUGACGAAGCGUGAGUGACGGUAAUGGGUAAAGAAGCACCGGCUAACUACGUG